rnacentral:rRNA from 1 species
UACGGAGGGUGCAAGCGUUAUCCGGAUUCACUGGGUUUAAAGGGUGCGUAGGUGGCUUUGUAAGUCAGUGGUGAAAUGCCGCAGCUCAACUGCGGAACUGCCACUGAUACUGCUUAGCUUGAAUCACGUCGAGGUGGAUGGAAUAUUACAUGUAGCGGUGAAAUGCUUAGAUAUGUAAUAGAACACCGAUUGCGAAGGCAGUUCACUAGGCGUGUAUUGACACUGAGGCACGAAAGCGUGGGGAUCAAACAGG